CCUACGGGCGGCAGCAGUGGGGGAUAUUGCACAAUGGGGGAAACCCUGAUGCAGCGACGCCGCGUGUGGGAAGACGGUCCUAUGGAUUGUAAACCACUGUCCCCAGGGACGAAGAUGACGGUACCUGGGGAGGAAGCUCCGGCUAACUACGUGCCAGCAGCCGCGGUACUACGUAGGGAGCGAGCGUUGUCCGGAAUUACUGGGUGUAAAGGGAGCGUAGGCGGGACUGCAAGUUGGGUGUCAAAUCUACCGGCUCAACCGGUAGCCGCACUCAAAACUGCAGUUCUUGAGUGAAGUAGAGGCAGGCGGAAUUCCUAGUGUAGCGGUGAAAUGCGUAGAUAUUAGGAGGAACACCAGUGGCGAAGGCGGCCUGCUGGGCUUUUACUGACGCUGAGGCUCGAAAGUGUGGGGAGCAAACAGGAUUAGAUACCCUUGUAGUC
rnacentral:rRNA from 1 species